UUCCAGAAACUGAUGGUUCAAUGAGGC
rnacentral:piRNA from 1 species